rnacentral:rRNA from 1 species
GAUGAACGCUGGCGGCGUGCUUAAUACAUGCAAGUCGAACGAAGCUCAGGGAGCUUGCUUCCUGAACUGAGUGGCGAACGGGUGAGUAAUACGUAAGCAACCUGCCCCGGAGCAGGGGAUAACAGAGGGAAACCGCUGCUAAUACCCUAUAGCAUUGAGGAGGGCAUCCUCCUCUUUCUAAAGAUCCGUCUGGAUCACCCCGGGAUGGGCUUACGCUGUAUUAGUUAGUUGGUGAGGUAACGGCCCACCAAGACUGUGAUACAUAGCCGGCCUGAGAGGGUGAACGGCCACAUUGGGACUGAGACACGGCCCAGACUCC